rnacentral:rRNA from 1 species
UACGGAGGGGGCUAGCGUUGUCCGGAAUCAUUGGGCGUAAAGAGCGUGUAGGCGGUCCGGUAAGUCCGCUGUGAAAGUCGGGGGCUCAACCCUCGAAUGCCGGUGGAUACUGUCGGGCUAGAGUGCGGAAGAGGCGAGUGGAAUUCCUGGUGUAGCGGUGAAAUGCGCAGAUAUCAGGAGGAACACCUAUAGCGAAGGCAGCUCGCUGGGACGUAACUGACGCUGAGACGCGAAAGCGUGGGGAGCAAACAGG